rnacentral:tRNA from 1 species
AAGGAUGGGUCUUCAGUCUUGUUUGCUCUUCGGAGUGAUCAACUAUCGACCUGUUUUAGAAACAUCAGGGUCUCUAAGUCAUACGAGACCCAUUGGCGGGAUUUCGCCGUCUUCGUUUCUCUUUCUUCGCGGACGAACACGCGCCUGGGGUGCGCAGUUGAUCGGGUCGGGCCUUGGUCCACCGAUGGAUUGCUGCGGCCUCACGUGCUGAGGGCUUGUAGCUCAGUUGGUUAGAGCGCGCGCUUGAUAAGCGUGAGGUCGGAAGUUCAAGUCUUCCCAGGCCCACCACUCAUCAAAAGCGUUGCUUUCGUCUUCUGGUACGGGGCCAUAGCUCAGCUGGGAGAGCGCGUGCUUUGCAAGCAUGAGGUCGUCGGUUCGAUCCCGUCUGGCUCCACCAGAUGGUGAUCAUCAGACCCGUGUUUGUGCCUCGCUGCUGUCAUUCGGAUAGCGCGAUGGACAUCGUCCGCAACUUGUAUUCGCCGGCCUGUGCGCUGCACGGCUUGGCGGGUUAAUUGACAUCGUAAAGAGGAGAUCGAUCCGAGUUCGGAUCUGCGGAGCAAUCUGCGGAGGCCGUUCGCUUAUCUCCGGAGCGUUUUCGGCGCCUGCGCAUCGCAAGAUGCAGCCAUCGCAAGAUGGUCAGGUUGUAAAACGCUUCAUGUUGACGACGCUUGACCGCAUCGUCAUCGGUUCGAUCUUACGAAGCAAUAACUGGUCUUUCUAAUCAGUGUCCGUUUGCGGCGUCGCUCUUGAAGGUUCGUCCUUCGGAGUGUGCUGCGAGCAACAUUCUGCCGAGUGUGUGGACAUUGAUAAUGAGAGCAAUCAA